AACGUAGGAGACAAACGUUAUCCGGAGUUACUGGGCGUAAAGGGCGUGUAGGCGGUCUGUUAAGUCUGGCGUGAAAGCUCUCGGCUAAACCGGGAGAGGUCGUUGGAUACUGGCAGACUAGAGGACGGUAGAGGCGUGUGGAAUUCCGGGUGUAGUGGUGAAAUGCGUAGAGAUCCGGAGGAACACCAGUGGCGAAGGCAGCUCGCUGGGACGGUACUGACGCUGAGGCGCGAAAGCGUGGGGAGCGAACAGG
rnacentral:rRNA from 1 species